UGAGUUUGCCAGGCAAUCGCUGCUUAGCUGAGUUUUCAGCAUGAGGAGAGGAAAGUCCGGGCUCCACAGAGCAGAGUGCCAGGUAACCCCUGGGGGGCGAAAGCCUACGGAAAGUGCAGCAGAAAGUGAACCGCCUAAGUUCUAGCCUUGGCUAGGAACGGUAAGGGUGAAAAGGUGCGGUAAGAGCGCACCGCAUGACUGGCAACAGUUCAUGGCGAUGGUAAACCCCUCUCGGAGCAAAACCAAAUAGGAAUUCGUUGGCGUGGCUCGCGCUGAAUUCGGGUAGGUUGCUUGAACUAAAUGGUGACGUUUAGUCUAGAUGAAUGAUUGUCCACGACAGAACCCGGCUUAUCGGCAAACUCUUUAC
rnacentral:RNase_P_RNA from 15 species